CAGCACCAUGUGAUAAGAGUCAACUGUUAGAGUGUGAAGAACACAACCUACAUUUGAAUAAAUAGAUUUUCUUUCCUCAAAGAAUGAAAGAAAAAGUAGAAGAAAUUUUGCGUUUUGUGUGCAAAAUUUGCGAUAUUAAGGUAGGAAGGGACCGAUGCACCAUCCAUAUCCUUCAUGAGACUUUUUGAGGUGGAAAGGAUCUGAUUUUCACAAGCAUGUUUUCUCCACUUAUGUGAAAUUUUGAGAUGGGAAAUCAAAAGAGAUGUUGAUUUGGCUUCUUUGGUGGGAACCUCCAUAAUGGUAUUCAAAUGUUCAAGGCAUCCAUCAGGUGGACUACUGCAAAAAAAAUAAUCAAGGCGGUUCAUUUAGAAGGUAAAUUCUACAUGUCUAAAAUGAUGUUACAAGACGUGUAUGAGAAGAUUACAUUGCUCUUCAGCACUUUUGGGUUUUUAAGCUGCAUGUGGCUUCAUAGUUGGAAGCAGUCGCAGCCCUCAUGGCUCUCCAUGUAGGACAUGUUAUGGUUUUCAACAACAGCCCCUGUAUGUAGCAGCAGAAGCAACAUGUUCUUUUCAAAUCAAUGUGGCCUUCUUUUGCUCCCUGCGGCUGAUGUUGUGCAAGUUUUGGAUAGGAGCUACCCCAGUUGUUUUGUCUUGGGUUGUUGUGGGUUUGGUGUGGUCUUAUUGUGGUGUGCAGCUGGUUUGUAGGGAUGGUAGUUCGUAGGUGUCAUUGAAGAUUUAGAUCAGUUUUGGGGUGCCAGAUUGGUGGCUUGUUCUGUGGGUCUAUUAUAAUUUUUUAAUUUUUUUAGCCCUGUAUAGUUUUUUGUUUUGUUUUUGUUUUUUAUUUAUUUUACAAGUGCUCUAAAUGAUAGGCGUGACUGCUGCCCUUUUUGUUGGCGUCCGCCUGAAUAGUUGUAUAGAGCAUUUCCACUCAAUAAUCUUGGGUGGUGUGCUUCCCACCUUUAGAAAAAUAAGAAGAAAGAAUGGGUAUAUAUCAAUAUGGGCAGGAUUUGGAUUUUGAAUAUGUGAUUUAGAUGUGGAUUGAAUAUGUAAUUGAAUGAUUAACAGGUUGAAUGUGGAUUGCAUGUGUAACUGAAUGUAAAUGCGUUGUUGGCAAAUAAUCAAGUCCUUUUUGUUGC